UCCGGUAUAGUGUAAUGGCUAUCAUACCGCUCUCUCAUCAGUCAUGUGAUCAGCGGUGAUCUGGGUUCAAUUCCCAGUGCCGGAA